rnacentral:tRNA from 1 species
GGCUAGCUCAGUUGGUUGAGCAUGAGAUUCUUAAACUCAGGUUUGUGGGUUUGAGCCCCACGUGGGGCA